rnacentral:lncRNA from 1 species
UCUCCCUUCCUGAUGAAUAAUACCAUAUCUCCGAUAAUAGGCCAAAAAUAUUAAGUAACAUACACAUAGAUACAUAUGUAAGUAUAUUGUAUAUUAAAUGGUGACAAACCAUGUUGCCCCCCCCAGGAAUGAAUCCUGGAUACGCCACUGGUUUUGAGCAAUGGAACGUUCCCGUUUAUUCUCGAAGAACGUUCGCGAACGUUCACGACUUUUUUCGUGAUGUUUAUUCUCAAGAGCACGAAUGAGCAUGAAUCCGAACGUUCCCAUAGCGUAAACGUUUGGUGUCGGUUUUCGGCAGUAACGGUCCUUUAGCAACCAGACGUAGCAACACCGGAUCGCCUCGCAUUAGGUUGGUUGUCGUCGAUCGUUGACAGCAAUGACAUCUGACAUUGUUGAUUUUCGGGGAUUUACAGAUUGGUUUAUUGGAAAUUUAUGUUAUUUUUCGUGGUUAAUUUAUCCUUUGAAUUUGAAGAGAUUGCAUCGGAGUUUAAAAAAAAAGUGGUUUCUAGUGUUUACUGUUGAAAAUGCCAAGAAGAAAGUGCAAUAUUUUUAACUUUUUUUUUGUUAAAAUCGACGGCUUCCACUUCUUCAAGUACUUCAGUUGUAUAAAUACAGAUAUUUAUCAAUGUAAGUUUUGUUUUCGCGAAUAUAAACGGCACGCAACCCGAAUGAAAGCGCAUAUAAUGAAAUGCCUAAAAUGCCCACAAGAAUUGAAAAAAGCCUUAAAUGAUGAUAGUAUGACUACAAUUAUUGCUGAAUCUGACAUUGCUCAAAAUCAAGGUAGUACGGUAGGAGUGGUAGGUCGGUAAAUAUCCUAUUGGAUGUUAUGCACUUUAAUAGUUCUCUUUGUUGUAUAGGUAUUAGUAUUUUAGGAGUUUUAGAUGAAGGUGAAGAUGCAGCUUCAGGUACUUCUACACCCACACCCAGUACCAGUUCGGGUAUGUCAGCAUCAGCUACUUCCAAAAUCUCAAUGGGUUUGGUUGGUUCUAGUUCAGGAAAUCUGUGAGUUUUUAUGGAUUCCAUAAACAAUAUGGAAAAUGAUAUUCUUAGUCGAGCACUAGCUAAGGCCAUAUAUGUCAGCAGUUGUCCAUUAAGGCUUACUGAAAUCCCCCAGUGGAUUGAGUUUUUUAAGUUAUGCAGACCUAGCUUUCGUUUGCCAUCAAGGUUUACCUUAUCAAACACUCUCUUAGAUAAUGAAUAUAAAGACAUAAGCAAGAAGAUUCAUGAAAAAAUUAAGAAUGCACUAACAGUUGGAAUUCAAUGUGAUGGAUGGUCUAAUAUAAGAAAUGAGGCUGUCAUAAAUGUAGUAGUCACUACUCCACAACCAGUACUUUUUAGAACUUUUGCCACUGGUACUGAGCGACAUACGGCUGAAUUCAUAAGUAAAGAAUUGCAAAAAAUUAUAGAGCAAAUUGGGUUUAAUAAGGUUGUUGGUCUUGUUACAGAUAAUGCUAGUUCUAUGAUUAAAGCAAGAAAAAUAAUUGCUGAGAGAAUAAAAAUUGUUGAGUAUGGCUGUAUUUAACAUAGCUUGAACAUAUUGGCAGGAGAUAUCAUGAAUAGUGAUUCUCUUAAGUCACUUAAAGGAUACUGCAAAACAAAUUAUAAAAGAAGUUACAAAAUCUCAUAUUAUCUUGGCCACUUUUAAUAGGAUUCAAAUGGAAAAACGCGGUACUUUAAUUUCUAAAAUUGCCUGUGGCAACAAGAUGGGGAUCAAUACUUGGUUGUUUAAAAAGUUUGUUAGGAAACAAAUAUUCUUUACAACAACUAGUUAUAACUGAAGAAAUUGGACAAAAGUUUAGUCCACGAGUAAAAAAAAACUGUUUGGAUGAAGAUAUAUUUUGGAUAAAAAUUGAAAAAGUGUGCAAUAUUCUUCGUCCAAUUGCUACAUGGAUCCAUAAGCUCGAAGGAGACCAUAUUCACCUAUCUGAAGUAACCAAAGCAUUUCACAGUCUUCAAAAGGUUUUUGACAUAGAAGUCCCAAAGCUCCCCAUUUUGAAAAAUGAGGAGGUCAAAAUACAUAACUUCCUUAAGGAGAGAAAGGAAAAAGUGGUGUCAGCUGCACAUUAUGCUGCAAAUAUAUUAGAUCCCAAAUUUCAGGGAGAUGUUUUAAGCAGAGAAGAACAUUCAAAAGAAAUUUACUUUAUUCAUUGGUUGGCAGAAAAUAACCUGAACUUUCAGGAUACUAUCCAAAAUAUCUUGGUUGAGUUAGAACAAUACA